rnacentral:rRNA from 1 species
GUAGGUGGCAAGCGUUGUCCGGAAUUAUUGGGCGUAAAGCGCGCGCAGGGCGGUCCUUUAAGUCUGAUGUGAAAGCCCACGGCUCAACCGUGGAGGGUCAUUGGAAACUUGGGGACUUGAGUACAGAAGAGGAAAGCGGAAUUCCAAGUGUAGCGGUGAAAUGCGUAGAGAUUUGGAGGAACACCAGUGGCGAAGGCGGCUUUCUGGUCUGUAACUGACGCUGAGGCGCGAAAGCGUGGGGAGCAAACAGGAUUAGAUACCCUGGUAGUCCACGCCGUAAACGAUGAGUGCUAAGUGUUAGGGGGUUUCCGUCCCUUAGUGCUGCAGCUAACGCAUUAAGCACUCCGCCUGGGGAGUACGGCCGCAAGGCUG